rnacentral:piRNA from 1 species
UAGGAUGCACAACUAACUUAUAGCUAUCUUU